ACUUCCGGUCCUCUCUGAUUCUGACCGGCGGGAGCCCAGCUGCCGUCCGAGCUGCCCUGCUAGGACUUUCCCGCGGCCACACCUCGCUAAAAGAGCCCCAAAUGUACCCCAGCGUGGUUUCUACACUCAAGAACACCUAUAGUUGCGGUACGAGGAUGUCGGACUGCCAUGUUGGAAGCGGGAAGAAGCGUUGAGUUCUCUGCUACCUCUGGCUCUUACAAUAUCUCCACCACCUCUACCAUAAUGAUCCCUGAGCUUUGAAGACAGAAGUUUGAUACAAGUUUGAUAAUCACUGUGCAGCCUCUUAUUCUCUACACAAAGAAGUAGUUUCUUAAAGGUCAUUUGUUCUAUGAAAUCUAAAGCCAUACCAAUAAACUUUCUAUCUGCUACGUUGAUGCUCAUUGGUCCAUCCUACAUGUUGAAUAGAUCUUCACUUACAUUUACUCAAAUGCAUGAUUUUGUAUCAUCAUGAAUUGGACAUUGGAAAAUGUUGCUCCACUGUUAUGUACAGCUCUUGCAAAUGUUCACUUACUUUGUUAUAUGUAAUGUUUAAUCUUGUCAACUUGGCUGUGUUUGGAAAUCACUAUGGAAAACACUUCUGUUUGUGUCUAUGAGGGUGUUUCCAGAAAGUUUUAACUGAAGAGGGAAGACCCACCCUGUGGGUGGCCUGAUCCAGUGGGCUUAGAUCCUGAAAUGAAUAAAAAGGAGAAAGUAA